AGUGAACGCUGGCGGUAGGCCUAACACAUGCAAGUCGAACGGCAGCACAGUAAUAGCUUGCUCUUACGGGUUGCGAGUGGCGGACGUGUGAGGAAUACAUCGGACUCUACUUUUUCGUGGGGGAUAACGUAGGUAAACUUACGCUAAUACCGCAUACGACCUACGGUUGAAAGCAUGGGAUCUUCUGACCUUGCGCGAUUGAAUGAGCCGAUGUCGGAUUAGCUAGUUGGCGGGGUAAAGGCCCACCAAGGCGACGAUCCGUAGCUGGUCUGAGAGGAUGAUCAGCCACACUGGAACUGAGACACGGUCCAGACUCCUAAGGGAGGCAGCAGUGGGGAAUAUUGGACAAUGGGCGCAAGCCUGAUCCAGUCAUACCGCGUGGGUGAAGAAGGCCUUCGGGUUGUAAAGACCUUUUGUUGGGAAAGAAAAGCAGCAGGUUAAGACCCCGCUGUUCUGACGGUACCCAAAGAAUAAGCACCGGCUAACUUCGUG
rnacentral:rRNA from 1 species